CAGCAGCCACGGUAACACGUAGGGUGCGAGCGUUAAUCGGAAUUACUGGGCGUAAAGCGUGCGCAGGCGGUUAUAUAAGACAGAUGUGAAAUCCCCGGGCUCAACCUGGGACCUGCAUUUGCGACUGUAUAGCUAGAGUACGGUAGAGGGGGAUGGAAUUCCGCGUGUAGCAGUGAAAUGCGUAGAUAUGCGGAGGAACACCGUUGGCGAAGGCAAUCCCCUGGACCUGUACUGACGCUCAUGCACGAAAGCGUGGGGAGCAAACAGGAUUAGAUACCCCCGUAGUCCCUGUCUCUUAUAA
rnacentral:rRNA from 1 species